rnacentral:rRNA from 1 species
GACGGAGGGUGCUAGCGUUGUUCGGAAUGACUGGGCGUAAAGGGCGCGUAGGCGGCCGCUUGCGUCGGAUGUGAAAGCCCGGGGCUCAACCCCGGAACGGCAUCCGAUACGGGGCGGCUCGAGACCGAGAGAGGUGAGUGGAAUACCCAGCGUAGAGGUGAAAUUCGUAGAUAUUGGGUGGAACACCGGUGGCGAAAGCGGCUCACUGGCUCGGUUCUGACGCUGAGGCGCGAAAGCGUGGGGAGCAAACAGG